rnacentral:misc_RNA from 1 species
UACGUAGGUGGCAAGCGUUGUCCGGAAUUAUUGGGCGUAAAGCGCGCGCAGGCGGCCUCGUAAGUCUGAUGUGAAGCCCCCCGCUCAACCGGGGAGGGCCAUUGGAAACUGGGAUGCUUGAGUAGAGGAGAGAAGGAGGGAAUUCCACGUGUAGCGGUGAAAUGCGUAGAGAUGUGGAGGAACACCAGUGGCGAAGGCGACUCUUUGGCCUAUAACUGACGCUGAGGCGCGAAAGCGUGGGGAGCAAACAGG